rnacentral:rRNA from 1 species
CUUCGACGCGUACGGGUUGUGAGAGCAAUAGCCCGGAGAUGGAUUCUGAGACACGAAUCCAGGUCCUACGGGACGCAGCAGUCGCGAAACCUUGACAAUGCGGGAAACCGUGAUCAGGGGACUCCAAGUGCCAGGAGUAAGAUCCUGUGCUUUUCUUCUCUCUUCAAAGGAUUAGGAAUAAGAGGUGGGUAAGGACGGUGCCAGCCGCCGCGGUAAUACCGGGGCCUCGAGUGGUAGUCGAUUUUAUUGGGCCUAAAACGUCCGUCGCCGGUCUGGUGCAUUCGUGGGUAAAUCAACCCGCUCAACGGGUUGAAUUCUGCGAGCACGGCCAGACUAGGGACCGGGAGAGGUGUGGGGUACGCUCGGGGUAGGGGUAAAAUCCUGUCAUCCCGAGCGGACCACCUGUUGCGAAGGCGCCACACUAGAACGG